CUUCAACGACCCCAACCACAGAGGCCGCCCCUCCGCCCGCCCCUGCCCGUAGGUCGCCAACAACGCCUGCGCCUC
rnacentral:antisense_RNA from 1 species